rfam:Schistosoma margrebowiei strain Zambia genome assembly, scaffold: SMRZ_contig0000092
ACUCAUCUGAUGAGCCCCAAAUAGGACGUAACGAGCGUCUUGGAU